rnacentral:rRNA from 1 species
CACGUGGGUAAUCUACCCUCGAGUGGGGAAUAAGCUUCCGAAAGGAGGUCUAAUGCCGCAUAACGUUUCAUAACGAUGGUUAUGAAACCAAAGCCCAAAAGGCGCUCGAGGAGGAGCCUGCGUCCUAUCAGCUUGUUGGCAGGGUAAUGGCCUACCAAGGCUAUGACGGGUAGCCGGCCUGAGAGGGUGUCCGGCCACACUGGAACUGAGACACGGUCCAGACUCCUACGGGAGGCAGCAGUGGGGAAUUUUGCGCAAUGGGGGAAACCCUGACGCAGCGACGCCGCGUGGAGGAUGACGGCCUUCGGGUUGUAAACUCCUGUCAGAAGGGACGAAAUCCUGCAAGGGACUGACGGUACCUUCAGAGGAAGCCCCGGCUAACUACGUG